GGGAUGUUUAAUAAAUGGAACUAGUUUUACCUCUGUGCUGGAUUCAGGUUCACGUGUCCCGGGCUAAUUUGAGGACUGACUCCUUUGCAGUGAACGACACACUCUUUACCUUUGGUGACUUCGCUGCUUGGUUGCAUUGUUCCAUUCGUUUGAUGUGGUUCUCCUGUCAGCCUUGCCCUUGCAAAGCUGUCAUUUACCACAAGGUAUAAAUAUAUAUUAAAGCCCCAAUCUUUGAGAUCUGUGGACUCAAGUGGAGAAAGAAGAUACAACAAUUUCUCAUUUAUCAUCCGCAAUAGACUCAAUGUCUACGUAAAGUUGAAUAUUGAACUUGGAGGGGAAA